rnacentral:rRNA from 1 species
AGAGUUUGAUCCUGGCUCAGGACGAACGCUGGCGGCGUGCUUAACACAUGCAAGUCGAACGGUGACCCAGGGCUUGCUCUGGUGAUCAGUGGCGAACGGGUGAGUAACACGUGAGUAACCUGCCCCUGACUCUGGGAUAACUGCUGGAAACGGUGGCUAAUACCGGAUAUGAAGCCUUUCCGCAUGGUGGGGCUUGGAAAGAUUUUUUGGUUGGGGAUGGGCUCGCGGCCUAUCAGCUUGUUGGUGGGGUGAUGGCUCACCAAGGCGACGACGGGUAGCCGGCCUGAGAGGGCGACCGGCCACACUGGGACUGAGACACGGCCCAGACUCCUACGGGAGGCAGCAGUGGGGAAUAUUGCACAAUGGGCGCAAGCCUGAUGCAGCGACGCCGCGUGAGGGAUGGAGGCCUUCGGGUUGUAAACCUCUUUCAGCAGGGAAGAAGCGAGAGUGACGGUACCUGCAGAAGAAGCGCCGGCUAACUACGUGCCAGCAGCCGCGGUAAUACGUAGGGCGCAAGCGUUGUCCGGAAUUAUUGGGCGUAAAGAGCUCGUAGGCGGUUUGUCGCGUCUGCUGUGAAAACCUGAGGCUCAACCUCGGGCUUGCAGUGGGUACGGGCAGACUAGAGUGCGGUAGGGGUGACUGGAAUUCCUGGUGUAGCGGUGGAAUGCGCGAUAUCAGGAGGAACACCGAUGGCGAAGGCAGGUCACUGGGCCGCAACUGACGCUGAGGAGCGAAAGCAUGGGGAGCGAACAGGAUUAGAUACCCUAGUAGUCC